rnacentral:rRNA from 1 species
GAUGAACGCUGGCGGCGUGCCUAAUACAUGCAAGUCGAGCGAACAGAUAAGGAGCUUGCUCCUUUGACGUUAGCGGCGGACGGGUGAGUAACACGUGGGUAACCUACCUAUAAGACUGGAAUAACUCCGGGAAACCGGGGCUAAUGCCGGAUAACAUUUAGAACCGCAUGGUUCUAAAGUGAAAGAUGGUUUUGCUAUCACUUAUAGAUGGACCCGCGCCGUAUUAGCUAGUUGGUAAGGUAAUGGCUUACCAAGGCAAAGAUACGUAGCCGACCUGAGAGGGUGAUCGGCCACACUGGAACUGAGACACGGUCCAGACUCCUACGGGAGGCAGCAGUAGGGAAUCUUCCGCAAUGGGCGAAAGCCUGACGGAGCAACGCCGCGUGAGUGAUGAAGGGUUUCGGCUCGUAAAACUCUGUUAUUGGGGAAGAACAAACGUGUAAGUAACUGUGCACGUCUUGACGGUACCUAAUCAGAAAGCCACGGCUAACUACGUGCCAGCCGCCGCCGUAA